UGGUAUGAUACAAUGGAAGGUUUUUCCCACCUAAGGGUUGCACCAGUACUCAGCAGUCAACGGUGACCUCGUGUAGUAUAUAUACGUAUGUACAUGAGAUAGUGACACUCAAUUGGUCUGAACCAAUUCUUCUCUUGAGGAUUGCUGUGAAGAUUCCCAAAUCAUCACGCAGAUCUUGUGGACAACCCCUAACAACCAUGCAGAUCAUGUGGGGAAUCCUAAUUAACCAUCAUACAGAUCUUGUGGACAACCCCUAACCACCAAUAUGCAGAUCUUGUGGAAAUCGAGUCCCAAACCACCAUAAAGAUACGUGGAGGUUGAGUUGAUUCCUAAACACCAUAAAGAUCUUGUGGAGAAUCUAUAAAUUUAACUUCAUCAGAUCCAUUUCCAAAAACUGUUGAGUACCGGUAUAUGGAGCAGGUCUGAAAGGCAUUUUCUCCCGGCAACUUGAUUUUCUGAUUUAGUAGGAUGUCAUCACUGAGCAGUAAGCUGGUCAAGCAUCGGAUCCAUGACAAGGGAUCACACUUUACACAUGUAAACAGACCCUGGAGAUAAUAGCAGCUGGAAAGUAACUGUUUGCUAUCGCAGCAAGCGUAGAAUCUACGGACUUUCAGUGGGAGGUUUGUACCUUAAAAUAUAGUGUAAUAUGAUCCUGAUAAAGUCGUAAUUUAGUUGAAAAUUAUUUUUUUUAAAAACCAAUAAAAUGCUUUCUUUGGUGGUACAUGUGGGUGUGACGGUAGCUAGCAUUGCAGAUAAAAAACAUAAAUAACCCAGCAGGUUGUAAUUUUUUUCUGCAAUGAUUUCUACCUCCAAAGCCAUAUAUGAAUCACACAAGGAAACUAUAUUUAGCUCACCUAAGCUGGAGGCUCAAGUGAGCUAUUCUGAUCACUUUUUGUUUGAAGUCUGUCUGAGUGUCUGUCUAUCUGUCCAUUUACUUUUUAUAUUUUGAUAGACUUUUCCAGAACCACUAGGUCAAUGUUAACCACACUAAGCAUAAGGCAUUAUUGGGUAAAGGGGAUUUAAGUUUGUUAAAAUGAAGUUCCAGGUCAUCUUUCAAGAGGAGAUAAUUAAAAAUUUUGAAAAUGUGGUGGUAUUUUAAAAAGAAAAAAAAACUUCUUCUCAAAUUCAUUUGGUCAGAAAAGCUGUAAAUUGUGUGGAAGCAUCCUCAGAUAGUGUAGAUUUAGCUUUUUUUUUUUUAAAAUAAAUCAUCCCUGGGGUUAUAUUGAGAAAAAAUCUUUAAAAAUCUCCCUCUCAAAAACCUUUUUGCUAGAAUAGCUGUAACUUCUGUGGAAGCAUUCUCAAGAAGUGUAGAUUUAAGUUUGUUCAAAUCAUGAUCCCCCAGGUUAGGGUAGGGUCACAUUACUUAGGAAUAUAUAGAAAAAAGUCUUUAAAAAUCUUCUUCUCAGAAACCAAUUGGCCAGGAAAGCUUUAACUUGUGUGGAAGCAUCCUCAGAUAUAGUAGAUUCAAGGUUCUUCAAAUCAAGAACCUUUGGGUAGGGUGGGGGCCACAAUGGGGGUCAAAUUUUAAGAUAAUUUUAUACUGGACCACUUCUAUUAAAUUGUCCAAAUAUUUUGUAUAUGACUCCACAAAGCUGAUUAUGUUAUGGAUAUUUUUUCUGAAGUGAGCAAUGUGGCCCAUUGGCCUCUUAUUAAUUAUAUUUACACCUCUCUCUCUCUCUCUCUUAAUUUCUCCCUAAAUCUUAAUUAUUCAUUAAAAGCAAGUAUGCAAGUUAUCAAUUUUCUCAAUCAGUACACUGCAUAGAGUUUACAAUCAGUUUUUCCAUAGAUAUGGUCAUAUACAAUAUCUAUUUGUAAGUCUGAGGUCAGUCCGUCCUAUCUAUAUAUGUUGCUAAGUUACCAUCAAUUACAAAAUAAUCCAAACUUUCAUAGAUAUGGACUUACACGGGCUGACCUCAGACUUCCAAGUAGUUAUAGUAACCAUGGUAACCUUAAUAUAUGGAAGAAUUGGCUGUUCCUUCUGUGAAACGUGCUGAUCGACAAUAACGAUCAAUUUUGCAAAACCAUCGAAAGCAAUUGAGAGUUAUGUAUUUUUUCUGCAAUUCUCACUGUCUUCAUAUCAAUAUGACACAUGAAAACAUGAAAGCAUUUCAUUGUUUAAUUGAUGCCCGAUUAAGCACUUGAUAAUACAAAUAUUUCCUCUCAGUGGUAGAUGGUUUUCCUAACUAUGAGAUGAUGUACUUUUAUAUAGCAGUGUAAAGUUAGGAGAACUUUCUACCUCUGAGAAAAAAUGUAUGUAAUGUCAUGAGCCUAUGUUAUUGAUGUUAUCAACCACACUUUAUAAUUAUACAGUUUAUUUACAUUUAUUAUUUAAUUUACACAUAUUAAAAAUAUACAUUGUAUUCAAAUUUAACAUAUAUUAAUUUAACAUAUAUUAAAUAUAAUAAUAUUACACACUCAGUUUGAUGGCACGCAAUGUUUGGAGUAUCAAAUAUGUACCACAUUUGGUCUGUUGACAGUCA